rnacentral:tRNA from 1 species
UGGAAGGGUAGCGAAGAGGCUAAACGCGGCGGACUGUAAAUCCGCUCCUUCGGGUUCGGGGGUUCGAAUCCCUNUUUAUAU